rnacentral:rRNA from 1 species
GAACGGGUGAGUAACGCGUAGGUAACCUGCCUCUUAGCGGGGGAUAACUAUUGGAAACGAUAGCUAAUACCGCAUAAAAGUCGACAUUGCAUGAUGUUGACUUGAAAGGUGCAAAUGCAUCACUAAGAGAUGGACCUGCGUUGUAUUAGCUAGUUGGUGAGGUAACGGCUCACCAAGGCGACGAUACAUAGC